GACGAACGCUGGCGGCGUGCUUAACACAUGCAAGUCGAACGGAAAGGCCCUGCUUUUGUGGGGCGCUCGUGUGGAGAAGGGGAGUGACACACGUGAGUAAUCUCCCCCUGACUUUGGGAAAACUUCAGGAAACUGGGGAUAAUACCGGAUAGGAGAUCUUGAGGCUUGUGGGUGGAUGGAAAGUUUCGGUGGUUGGGGAUGGUCUCGCGGUUUAUUAGCUUGUUGGUGGGGUAGUGGCUUACCAAGGCUGUGAGGGGUAGCCGGCCUGGGGGGGGGACCGGCAACUUGGGGACUAGGAUACGGCCCAGACUCCUACGGGCGGCAGCAGGGGGAAUUAUUGCACAAUGGGGGGAAGCCUGUGGCGGCAACCCCGGGUGCGGAAGAACGGCCUUCGGGUGGAAAACCGCUUUGGCCGGUAAGAAGCCGUGUGUGACGGUAAUUAGUAAAGAAGCACCGGCUAACUACGUG
rnacentral:rRNA from 1 species